rnacentral:ncRNA from 1 species
GUAAAGGCGAUGAAGAGAAGAGUAGGAAGAGCUGAUGCUUCACAGAGAACCCCUGCAGCUGGAAAUGGGGUAGGCGGAUAUCUUCUGAACCAAAUCUCCGAGCCUCUUAUCGGAACCAUACAGGGGAUGAUAAGGACGGGAGCUCCCGUUACAGAGCAGGGGUAUAAGCAAACGCAGAGUUUGUCGUACUUGAAAAGAUCGGUAUGGUGACGUAUCGGUAAACUGGGGUGGCACCGCGAGGAUAAGGAUCUCGUCCCCAAG